UUUAUAUACGUGUAUUUUUUUGGUUAUUUAUAUACAUGAUUUCAGAAAAUGGAAAGAAACAUAAUUGGUGUUUUAUAUAAAUUAGAAAACAUUUUCCAUUAUAUAUAAUGGAAAAACAAAAAACAAAAGGUAACUUAAUUGAUUAGGUCGGGUCAUUUCACAAAACGAACAAACUUUUUUUCUGCACAGAAAAGGGUGGAAAAAGAAAAGUGAAGGGAUCAACAACACUGAUUUAUCUUAUCUGGAACUCUGAAAGAGUCAGCUUUCUUCAUGGUUUCAAUAUCAAGUUGUCCUGUUGUCAAGAAUUGUUACAUAACUAAUCAAAGAUUAGAUGCAUGUGGAGUGAAGAUUCUAAGUUGAUUCCGUAGCCUCUUUGAUUAAUAUAUAUAUUAGUUUUAAAUUGUACCACCCACCUAUAGUUUUACACAUCAAUAUCAAAAAUUUGAUUUGACCCAUGUAUAUAAUAUCAUCAUUAUUUCGGAUGUAUUUCAUCUGCAUGGAAAUAAAGAGGUCUAUUAU
rnacentral:lncRNA from 1 species